UACGUAGGGGGCAAGCGUUGUCCGGAUUCAUUGGGCGUAAAGAGCGUGUAGGCGGCCAGGUAGGUCGGUUGUGAAAACUGGAGGCUCAACCUUCAGAGGUCGACCGAAACCAUCUGGCUAGAGUCCGGGAGAGGAGAGUGGAAUUCCUGGUGUAGCGGUGAAAUGCGCAGAUAUCAGGAGGAACACCGGUGGCGAAAGCGACUCACUGGCCCGAAUCUGACACUGAGGUGCGAAAGCUAGGGUAGCGAACAGG
rnacentral:rRNA from 1 species